rnacentral:rRNA from 1 species
CAGUCGCCACGGUAAUACGUAGGUCCCGAGCGUUGUCCGGAUUUAUUGGGCGUAAAGGGAGCGCAGGCGGUUUAGUAAGUCUGAAGUUAAAGGCAUUGGCUCAACCAAUGUAUGCUUUGGAAACUGUUAGACUUGAGUGCAGAAGGGGAGAGUGGAAUUCCAUGUGUAGCGGUGAAAUGCGUAGAUAUAUGGAGGAACACCGGUGGCGAAAGCGGCUCUCUGGUCUGUCACUGACGCUGAGGCUCGAGAGCGUGGGUAGCGAACAGGAUUAGAUACCCCCGUAGUCCCUGUCUCUUAUACA